AUUUUUACAAAAGACAUAGAAUAUGGAUAUUUCCAAAUACUUAGAACAUAGAUAUUUACAAAAGACUUAGAACAUAGAUAUUUACAAAAGACAUUUAUUUGCACAGGUUCUGGUUUUGUUAUCACUGACCCUCCUAGAGCUGAUGUUCCACAACUGUUCUGGGUGCCUCGUAUCGAAUGCCCUAGAGGCUUCACGCCGAUUGAACUAGAGAGUGAAAGCUUGUGUGUCAAGCAGAGUAAUGAGGAUUUUAACUUUCGUGAGGCACAAUCCUACUGUGUAGCUCGUGACAGUCAACUUUACACUACAAAGUCACUGGAUAAGUUGAACUACUUACCUAACUUUGCUGCCAACGUUUGGGUGGGUCUGUAUGAUUCGGAUUCCAAUUGUGAAUUCCAGUGGUCUGACGACAACCAAGAGCUAGCCAAUGAUCUGCUGCCCAUACUAGCCACAGAUUACAACACUAGCAACCAGUGUGUCUAUUUCGCUUCACCUUCUCAAGCACUUGUCGCUACCACCUGCUCCGAUACUUUUUCAGUUGUUUGUGAGAUUUGAACCCUAGUGCUACUUUUUUUUACAAUUUAAAAAAAAGGUAUACUUGAAUAGAGGAUUCUCAUACUUUGAUAAAUAUUUCUCGAAUAAUUAAAAUUUUUUUUUAA
rnacentral:sRNA from 1 species